GCUGCUUCAGUCACGCAAUCGUUAACCUGCUCCUCGAGUGCUUUCACCUUUGCUUUCGUAACAUAGAUAACGCUCAAUAUUUCCAUGAAUCUGCGCUCUAAGGUAGUAAUGGUUUACCUUAACUCUAUCUCGACAUGCAUACACCCCUCCAAGCUAUUUCAGAUUUUCUCAAUCUCUUCAAGAGUGUGCCCCUCAAGAACGUUAAGGGUCCCAUCCAUUUUCCUCAAAUGUUGGAC
rnacentral:lncRNA from 1 species